CGUGUAGGCGGUGCGGUAAGUUGGGCGUGAAAUCCCCGAGCUUAACUCGGGUGGGCCGUUCAAGACUGCCGUGCUAGGGUGCGGGAGAGGGAAGUGGAAUUUCCGGUGUAGCGGUGAAAUGCGUAGAUAUCGGGAGGAACACCUGCGGCGAAGGCGGCUUCCUGGACCGUAACCGACGCUGAGGCGCGAAAGCUAGGGGAGCAAACAGGAUUAGAUACCCUGGUAGUCCUAGCCCUAAACGAUGAGCACUGGGUGUGGCCCCUCACGAGGCCGUGCCGAAGCUAGCGCAUUAAGUGCUCCGCCUGGGGAGUACGGUCGCAAGGCUGAA
rnacentral:rRNA from 1 species